AGAGUUUGAUCAUGGCUCAGAACGUACGCUGGCGGCACGCCUAACACAUGCAAGUCGAACGCAGUAGCAAUACUGAGUGGCAAACGGGUGAGUAUAAUGUGGGAAUCUGCCUUUUGGUUUGGAAUAACACGGGGAAACUUGUGCUAAUACCGAAUAAGCCCUUACGGGGAAAGUUUUAAUGCCGAAAGAUGAGCCCGCACUUGAUUAGCUAGUUGGUAAGGUAAAAGCUUACCAAGGCAACGAUCAAUAGCUGUUCUUAGAGGAAGACCAGCCACAUUGGGACUGAGACACGGCCCAGACUCCUACGGGAGGCAGCAGUGGGGAAUCUUGCACAAUGGGGGAAACCCUGAUGCAGCGAUGCCGCGUGAGUGAAGAAGGCCCUUGGGUUGUAAAACUCUUUCGUCGGGGAAGAAAAUGACUGUACCCGAAUAAGAAGGUCCGGCUAACUUCGUGCCAGCAGCCGCGGUAAUACGAAGGGACCUAGCGUAGUUCGGAAUUACUGGGCUUAAAGAGCUCGUAGGUGGUUAAAAAAGUUGAUGGUGAAAUCCCAAGGCUCAACCUUGGAACUGCCAUCAAAACUUUUUAGCUAGAGUGUGAUAGAGGUAAGUGGAAUUUCUAGUGUAGAGGUGAAAUUCGUAGAUAUUAGAAAGAACACCAAAUGCGAAGGCAACUUACUGGGUCACUACUGACACUGAGGAGCGAAAGCAUGGGUAGCGAAGAGGAUUAGAUACCCUCGUAGUCCAUGCCGUAAACGAUGUGUGCUAGACGUUGGAAAUUUAUUUUUCAGUGUCGCAGCGAAAGCAUUAAGCACAC
rnacentral:rRNA from 1 species